rnacentral:rRNA from 1 species
AUGAUAUAUUUAUACAGAAUCGACUCAGGACUUCAGCUUAGCCCAAAAGCUCUCUAUAGAAUGAAUGCACCAGCUUCAAUAUCUGAUGGCUGCACGCUAGCUGAAGAUGACGAUGGAUCUAAAAGGGACGUCCGCUGCCGUUUGUGUCCCCAACAUAUCCGGUCUAUCUUCGUUUUGCUCCUCAAGUUAAAGGGAACCUCUAUACAGUUGGUCCAGGGUAACAGGCGAGUCUCUGUUUUGACCCUUGAAGGAGAGCAGCCGCCCUGUUGCACGAGCAACUUAUUAUUCUCAAGCGCCGCAGCCGCAAGAGCGUUCUGUGUUGGAUUCUUUAGUUGGCUGCCCAAGUAUCCUUGGCAACUCUUUGCUCCGCAAUGGCACUUAACCUUCUCUCCAAAAUGCACAAACCUGGAAGAAAGGAGUAAACUGUAA